rnacentral:rRNA from 1 species
AUUGAACGCUGGCGGCAUGCCUUACACAUGCAAGUCGAACGGUAACAGGUCUUCGGAUGCUGACGAGUGGCGAACGGGUGAGUAAUACAUCGGAACGUGCCUAGUAGUGGGGGAUAACUACUCGAAAGAGUGGCUAAUACCGCAUGAGAUCUACGGAUGAAAGCAGGGGAUCGCAAGACCUUGUGCUACUAGAGCGGCCGAUGGCAGAUUAGGUAGGUGGUGGGAUAAAAGCUUACCAAGCCGACGAUCUGUAGCUGGUCUGAGCGGACGAUCAGCCCCACUGGGGCUGAGACACGGCCCGGACCCCUACGGGAGGGAGCAGUGGGGAAUUUUGGACAAUGGGCGAAAGCCUGAUCCAGCAAUGCCGCGUGCAGGAUGAAGGCCUUCGGGUUGUAAACUGCUUUUGUACGGAACGAAAAGCCCCGGGUUAAUACCCUGGGGUCAUGACGGUACCGUAAGAAUAAGCACCGGCUAACUACGUGCCAGCCGCCGCCGUAA